rnacentral:tRNA from 1 species
GCGGCUAUAGUUUAACGGUAGAAUAAUGGUGCGCUACAUCAUUGAUACGAGUUCGAUUCUCGUUAGUCGCUC